rnacentral:tRNA from 1 species
GAAGGCUUAGCUUAAGAAAAGUGUCAGAUUUUUGAUCUGGAGAUACAGAUUUGUAGUUUUUA